rnacentral:lncRNA from 1 species
AUCGGAUCAACAAAAACCGCCCCAAUCCUUCCAGAUGCACUACUAUAUAAAUGUCCAUAGGGUUUCCUAAAUGUUUUUUGUUGUCUUCUCCGCCGUUUGAGCUACUUUUCCUGGGAGAAUCCAUGAUGUCGGCGAUCUUCAACCUUCAAUUCGUGAUGCUUGUCCUCGGAUCAUUAACUCGUUGCCUAAGACCUCCAUGAUUCCUGCUAUUAAUAGCUCUCAAAAGUGAGUAUUUUACCUCAGUGAACUUCAUCUAUUUAGCUCCUUCUAUAAAUCUUUAACCUUCCGUCUCUUGUUUAUACUCUUUCUCAGCUGUAUUCUUCUGUAAAUGGGAUAGUACUUCUUUUUUGGCACUGAAAUGAGGGUUUUAGGUCCCUGAGUCAGAUUACAUAUCCAAGUAAGCCCUAGUUCCUAUUCUCUUUUGACUACUAUUUCUUGUAAAAUCCCCUUAUUUCGAACUUGUUGAUAGAUGUGGAAGAGAGGGAGAUAAGGGAUGAUCAAACCCACCAUUCUUGAAUUGUAUUCUGCUUCUCAGGUGUAUUGAUAAGAUCAAACUCACACAACCGUCCCUCAUUACUUGAAGUCCACUUUUGACGGCUGGCUCUGUAUAGUCUAGAUAGUUUUUGGUGUUUGUGAAUGCUUUCUUGGGUUUUAAAUAGGUACUUGCAAGCUGGUUUAGCUCUGUUAGCAAUGACUAUAGCCUUCAGCCUCUUCAUACUUUUUUUCAAUGACAGUCGAAUGUAUAGACAUUGUAGUUUAUCAUUAUUCAGGAUUUUCUUACCUUUGACUUGUAAUUGCUGAAAUGUUGUUAUGCUGAAUCCACCACUAUCAAUUGUUGUGUUUACUAGAUGAUCCACCAACUGAUUCCCUUCUCUUAAAAUGUGCUGAAAUUUUACUUGCUUAUCAUGAAGUAAUUAUGUGAUUUGUUCAACAUAAUCUACCAUAUUCCAUGGGAAAUCCCACUCUUUAGUUAAAAUCUUCAACAAAAUAAGAGAAUCUAUUUGAAAGAUUAACUUAUUAAGAUUGGACAAAUUACAAUGGAUUGCUGCUUGAAGCAUAGCAUAUGCUUCAGCCUCCAUGUUAAUAGUAUCUACAAUCUGUGCCCCCUGUGCAUAAGAACUGAUCCCUGGAUUCCCCCUAGAAGCUCCAUCUAUAUUGUACUUCAACCAAUCUUCUUCUGGAAAUUGCCACUCAACCUUUGUUAGCUUGAUUGUAGAUCUCUUUUGUUGUAAUUGCUAGUGAGUCUCUGGCCACAUAGAAGGGAAAACUUGUAUAGAAUUUCUCACUUUCAGUAGCAAACCAAUAUUCCUAUUAAUAUUGAAUAUUACUUUAUGAGUUGACAAAGAUUUCCCUUCAUGUUUUGCGUUGUUUCUUCUUCUCCACAACUCCCAUAAGAUAAUGCUAGGAACUGACUGAUAGUAUGCCUUAGUUUCUCCCUAUUUACCAUCAUUCCACCAGUAGGUAAUGAGUUCUCUUAGACCGGUUGCUUGCAUAUUGAUACAUGCACAAGAUGAAAAAUAGGACCAAGUCCUGUUAGCAGUGCCUGAUUUUAGAAACACAUGUGAAAUGGUUUCUUGAUCAGGCAGUGAACAACAGCAGCAUCUAAUAAGUCCUUCUACUCCCCGUCUUCUCAAAUUAUCAUCAACAGGAAUUUUUCCUUUCCGAAACCUCCACAUUAAAAAUGCCAUCUUAAAAGGUAAACCUUUCACCCAGAUGUUUUCUAUAAACUACAUUCCUCUUUUCCCUUUGUCUAAUAUAAUUCUAGGCUGACUUGACAGUGAAUCUACCAUUUGACUCCAACAUUCAUGUUGGACUGUCUACUCCCUAUGGAAUUCUGAUGGAUUCCAUGAUAUAAUCUGUAACUUCUUGUGAAAAAAGUUGAUACAUCAAUUAUGAAUUCUAACCUCCAUUCUGAAACAUGUCCUUCACCUGUUGAUAUUGAUUGUCCCAUUCUUUUGAAUUCUCCAAAAGUGUAUAAAAAUCUCCUUCCUUUGUCCAAUUAUCAAAUCACAUAUUUGAAUUUCCUUUCCUUAUUCUCCAGAAAAUUUGGUGCACCACCAAGUCUCUUGCCUGUAACAUCUUUUCCCAUACCUGAGAUCCAACACCAGUUUUCCACACUAUCUCAUUUGGGUGUUUAUUUCUGCAAUACUUAUUCUACAUAUAUCUUCUCCAAAUAGAAUCCUUGGUUCUAAAGUUCCACCAUAGCUUUCGAAACAAGGCCAUUGACACAUCUUUUAUGUUCCUGAACCCAGUCCUCUUUCUUCCUCAAGAUAACACAUCUUACUCUAUUUAACCCGAUGUCUACUCUUACCCCCUAUGUGUGUACUCCAGAAGAAUUGAGCAAACUUUCUUUGAAUUAUAUUGAGCAUAUUUAAAGGGGGAUUCAUGAUAGAUAAAAAAUGGAUUGGUAUACUCUGUAAGAUAUGCUUGAUUAGAACAGCUCUUCCCUCAUAAUAUAGAAGCUUCCCUUUCCAACCUUGCAAUUUUCCACUAAUUCUGCUCAUCAUAGCUUGAUAGUAAUCCUUCUUAUUUCUUAUAUGAAAUAUUGGACAACCCAGAUAUUUGGAAGGGAAUUCCUUUCUCAUAAUUCUAGUAACCACUUCAGCCAGUACCACAACUCCUUGAGAUACUCCCUUAUGUAAAUACAGGGAACUUUUCUCCUUAUUAACUUUUUGACCUAACACUUUUUCAUAUUUCUCUAGUGUAUUGGUCACUUUCUGCAUUGUUUGUAAAUCAGCUUUGCAUAAGAUUAUCAUGUCAUCAUCAAAGGCAAAGUGAUUUACUUUAGGACUCUCUCUAAAAAAUGCUCCUGUCAUACCAUCAGGUCCUCCUGCACUGUUUUUAUUCAAUCCCAUAACUGCCUCCUUGACUUCUUGAAUAUCUGGAAUCCUAUUCAUAUCUUUAUUCUGUUCAGCAGUCACUACAGUAGGUAAUUCAUUUAGCAUGUCAAAGUCAACUAUCUCUUUUUGUUUAGUAAACUGUCUCUGAAAGAACUGAACAGCUUCCUCAGCUAUGUCUGUCUGAUUUUCCAAACAUUCCCCAUCAUAAUUCCAAAUUCUUGUAAUAUUCAGUCUACUACUUUUUUAUUUCACAACAACAUGGAAAAAUUUAGUGUUUCUUUCCCCAUCUUUAAACCAUUCCAAACCUGCCUUCUACCUCCAAGAAUCCUCUUCUCUCUUCAAUUGUAUGUUUAAUUCAGCUUAUGCUAUAAAUAACAUCUAUCUAUUAUUGGCUGAAGGAUUUUCCUCAAAUUAUUUUUUCUAACUCUGAUGAUCUUCUCCAAUGUUGCUAUUUCCUGAAAGAUAUUACCAAAGUAUUCCCUACUCAUUGUGUCAGUAUACUUUUAACCCUUUUUAACUUAUGAUGAAACACAAUAAAAGGAUUACCCAUUACUUUAGUUACCCAAUUUUUCUUUAUUACUUCAUAACAUGCUUGUUCUUUUAGCCACAUAUUUAGAAACCUGAAAGGUUUUUGAACAUUUUCCUCCACUGUAUUAAAGUGAAUCUUCAGAGGAGUGUGAUCAGAUCCACUUCUAAACAGGUGUUCCACUUUAAGAACUAGAAAGAGGUCCUAUAUUUUAUCAUUACAAAGCACUCUAUCCUAUCUUUUGAAUAUACAUUCCUUCAUCUGUCCUUCCAUUCCACCAGGUAUAUUUACUUCCUUUGAAACCUGGGUCCUCCAUACCACAUAAAUUAAUGCAAUGCUUGAAGUCUUCUGUCUCAGCCACUGUGACUAUUAGUCAUCCUAAUUUCUCCUCUUCACUAAAAAUUACUUGAAAAUCUUCCCCUAUCAUCUAUGGAUGUUGCAUUGUCUGAGCUAUUCUACAAGUGAUUCCCAUAAACAUAACCUCUCCUGUUGAGUGCAUUUAGUAUACACCAAAUACCUAUUUCUUAACUGGCCAAUUGAAUGGUGAGUUGUUGCUCCUCAUCCUUUAUUAUAACAAUUUCAAUAAAAUCCUCAGUAAAUACCCAUAUUUUUCCAGAAUAAUUUGCAGCUGCAUUCUUCAUGUUCAAUCUCUUUCUACAUUAAUCAAUUGUGUUAUUUUACUGAAAAGGUUUCAUUAAGCCUAUGAAUGUGAAGCGAUAUCUUUUUUGCAAAGUGAUGAGCCUAGUAAAUGCUUUUUAAGCGUUCACUAAUUUGAUAUUCCAUAUUAGAGCAUUUAUCUGGACUUAUUUUUGACUGAAUUCCUUGUCUGCAUUGAGGAAGUUUUAACUUCCUUAUCUUUCUUCUUCUACA